rnacentral:lncRNA from 1 species
UGUAGGAGACCCGUAUGUGGGUGUUGGCGACCCAUAUGUUGGCGUUGGGGGAUGGUACUCUGGCUGAGGCUUGGGCUCUGGUUUGGGCUGCGGCUUAGGUUCCGGCUUCGGCUUUGGCGGUAUGGGCUUCUUGUGGAAGUGGUCGAAGAAGUGGUGGUGGUCAUGGUCCUUGUGGAAGUGACCAAGCAACUUGGCAAACAAGUGCCUAGCUGGAGGGUGGUAGAUCGGUGUCGGAGACCCGUAUGUUGGUGUUGGGGGAUGGUACUCUGGCUGAGGCUUAGGCUCUGGCUUCGGCUGCGGCUUAGGUUCCGGCUUCGGCUUCGGCGGCAUGGGCUUCUUGUGGAAAUGGUCAAAGAAGUGGUGGUGGUCGUGGUUCUUAUGGAAGUGAUCAAACAAGUGCUUCUUGUCGAACAACUGCCUUGCUGGAGGAUGGUAGAUCGGAGUUGGGGAUCCAUAUGUGGGCAUUGGUGAUCCAUACGUCGGUGUUGGGGGGUGGUACUCUGGCUGCGGCUUGGGUUCAGGUUUCGGUUGCGGCUUAGGUUCGGGCUUCGGCUUCGGCGGUAUGGGCUUCUUCUUGUGGAAGUGGUCGAGGAAGUGCUUCUUGAUAGGGCCGCAGAUGGUGACCGACGCGCAUUCUGCCGAUGGGUUGUUUGUCUUGCCAGGGACCACGACGAAGUCGCUCUCGGACUGCGGAACAAUCAUGGAAG